rnacentral:rRNA from 1 species
GAUGAACGCUGGCGGCGUGCCUAAUACAUGCAAGUCGAGCGAACAGACGAGGAGCUUGCUCCUCUGACGUUAGCGGCGGACGGGUGAGUAACACGUGGAUAACCUACCUAUAAGACUGGGAUAACUUCGGGAAACCGGAGCUAAUACCGGAUAACAUGUUGAACCGCAUGGUUCAACAGUGAAAGACGGUCUUGCUGUCACUUAUAGAUGGAUCCGCGCCGCAUUAGCUAGUUGGUAAGGUAACGGCUUACCAAGGCAACGAUGCGUAGCCGACCUGAGAGGGUGAUCGGCACACACUGGAACUGAGACACGGUCCAGACUCCUACGGGAGGCAGCAGUAGGGAAUCUUCCGCAAUGGGCGAAAGCCUGACGGAGCAACGCCGCGUGAGUGAAGAAGGUCUUCGGAUCGUAAAACUCUGUUAUUAGGGAAGAACAAAUGUGUAAGUAACUAUGCACGUCUUGACGGUACCUAAUCAGAAAGCCACGGCUAACUACGUG